CCGGGUGAGAGGUCGCCUGUCUCCCAGCAACCGAGGCGCAGUCGGAGCCUGCCUUGCGCCUUAGCUCCCGGCUGCAGAGCUGGCGGGUCAGGGGGAAUCGCACAGUCGCGAAAGUGUCCCCGACCCCUCGUUAACACCUCCUCCAGGAUGAGUGGUUGUUAAGGUGCCAACGUGAUACGGGUUCAGGGAGAGUACAGCAUGGCCCCUGUAGUGCACGACAAGCAGAUUUGGUAACUUGGUUUCAAUAAACACUUAGAAAGCA